rnacentral:tRNA from 1 species
GCCGGAGUGGCAGAGUGGUUAUUGCGCUGGUCUUGAAAACCAGUGUCCGCAAGGACUCGGGAGUUCGAAUCUCUCCUCCGGCG